ACCUAAUGAUGGUGCUGCCAUGCUAGUCACAAAGAGUAGUAAUAUUUCUAUUAUUUGUGUGCUUUAUAGAGAUGACACAGAUUUUUACCACUGAAACCUCAGGGAC